UGAAACCUUUCAAACAUUGUAUCUGUCUGCCUAUAUGUUAGUAUGUGAAAAUGGCAUUAUGCAAUAAUAUUGAUUGACGAAGUUAAUUUGUUUUGGCCCUAAAUGUUUGGUUACAACUGGGAUCAUAAUUCCACCACUGCUCUGUGUGCACUUCUACUGACAGAGGGGAUUCUUCUGUGGAUUAAAGAUUAUGUUUGACCAUAAUUUUGCAGACCUGGAAAAUAAUGAAAAGAUAUACAAUAGCUCAUUUUUCUCCAAAAAACAAAUGUGCUGCUUCCAGUAUACAAGUGAAGUGAUACAAAGCUACUGCAAAAACAGUAACUUUGAAUGUACUUUGAUGCAUACCUGGACUUAAAAACACUGUCUAAAAUGCAUGGAGAAUUUUAUAAAGUUAAGUAUGUGUUCUUAAGUACACAUGAGAAAAUAAAAGUUCUUUUUUAUUAAAAUAAAAAAGGCUUUGAUACAUUUGCAUUGCAAAGAUUUAACAGAAAAUAAUUUCUACAAACAUGCUACAGUUACAUACAGAUGUUCCAAAAGUUUUCAGUGCCUUCUUACAAAGUUCAACAUUUUGGCAAAAAUUAGUUUUUCCUGUAUAUGCUUCAAAAGUUGGGUACUAUAAUACUGAUACACAAAACUUCAUGUAGACUAGGUUCAGGUGCAUAAAACACAAUAAGUAAUAAAAUGUAAGUUCUCUAUAAAACAUUUAAACAUAUUUAAAGUAUAAAUUUAAUUAGAUAACAUGCAAAUACUGCAAUAUUUCAAAUGGGACUUAUAAAUAUAGAUUGAAAUUAUUUAUAAUUUUGCAUCCAAUAAGAAAAUCUGUUAUGUACAAAGUUGUAAAAAUGAACACAUUUCUUCAUUUAAGUAAGGUACUGGCUUAGCACAUGAUUGUCAUUUUACAAAAAUGGGGCCCAAUAUCCUCCAAAUACUUAGACACACAUAAGAAUAUUUACUUACACGUGUAAGUUUCCUGGAAUAGGCCCAUGGCUACUUCAUUUCCUUCAUAAUAAAAUAUGAAAAUAUAUGUAUUUACAUGGAAAAUGACUCAACAGUUUUUGGUAAACUAA